rnacentral:rRNA from 1 species
AUUGAACGCUGGCGGCAGGCUUAACACAUGCAAGUCGAGCGGAUGAGAGGAGCUUGCUCCUCGAUUCAGCGGCGGACGGGUGAGUAAUGCCUAGGAAUCUGCCCAGUAGUGGGGGACAACGUUUCGAAAGGAACGCUAAUACCGCAUACGUCCUACGGGAGAAAGUGGGGGAUCUUCGGACCUCACGCUAUUGGAUGAGCCUAGGUCGGAUUAGCUAGUUGGUCGGGUAAAGGCCUACCAAGGCGACGAUCCGUAACUGGGCUGAGAGGAUGAUCAGUCACACUGGAGCUGAGACACGGUCCAGACUCCUACGGGAGGCAGCAGUGGGGAAUAUUGGACAAUGGGCGCAAGCCUGAUCCAGCCAUGCCGCGUGUGUGAAGAAGGCCCUCGGGUCGUAAAGCACUUUAAGUUGGGAGGAAGGGCUUACAGCGAAUACCUGUGAGUUUUGACGUUACCGACAGAAUAAGCACCGGCUAACUUCGUGCCAGCCGCCGCAGUAA